rnacentral:lncRNA from 1 species
AAAGGAAAGAGACUAUUUCAAUUGCUGAACUUCAAAAUGGAUCACAUUGUCGAAGAUUCCAUUGAGAUAAUUUUGAGCAAAUCACAUAGUAGUAGAGUACACAUCCUCACCACGCCCUACAUCUUGGUUACACAGUUGCUAUUAAAAAUUUCAGCAAACUAAAGAAAGAUCAACAAACACAACACAUGCAUUGUCUGCCUCCAGAUAACACUCUUGUGUCCCGUUAUUUGCAUUUAGCAGUACCGACUAAACAAGGGCUGCUCAUUGCGGUGAUGAGACGGACGGUGAGGAGUUGCACGCUAGUCUGUGGUUGGUCAUGCCUAGAGCGCCAUGGACACACCGUCGUGGUCACGCUCUAGAAGGAGAAUAAACAUGCAAAAUUUUCCAUCCCCACAUAUAGUAUAUAUCAAUAUUGCAAUUUUUUCCUAUCACAUAUAGUAUGUGAUAAAAAAAUGCAGUAUUGCAGAAUUCAGUAACAAAUAUGCGGUGGUUUAACCAUAUAUAUACUACCAAACCUCCAUGAUAGAUUGUAUCAACACCUUAGCUUACAUGGAAGCAUAAGAUUCGUGCUCCAUAUAAACAUAAAUUUCAGAAACAGUAACUAGCCAAACUCUGACAUUUAAGUUAGAGAUGUACUUCAUUAUCUGCAAGAUUCCAACAAUGCAUAAGAUUCGUGCUCCAUAUAAACAUAAAUUUCAGAAACAGUAACUAGCCAAACUCGAAGCAACAAUACAUUGUCUAUUAAAAAUCUGCAUGUGCAGAUGCAAAAGAAACGACAUAAUGCUUAACUACUUUGUAAGAUUCAUAAGAUUAGAUGGCGACAACAAAGUUCGGUUUGCAAAUCAUGAGCUUUACAUUAACUUGGGCUCAGCUCAACGCAUAUCAAUGGCUAUCCAAUAAGGAAUGAACAACAAUACCUUGUGCUUAAUCAGGCACCGAGAAUGGAGCAGCCACCGAGAUCUGAGAGGAGACAGGAUGAGCUUGGACGGAUUUGAUGGGGGUGUGUGUGGUGCUGAUGUCUUCGCAAUAAUGUAUCUGGUUCUGUUCAUGAAAAUUCAGGCCAAAUUUAUCAAAAUGCUACUGGUGCAGCACAAUGGAGCACGUACACAUGAUUGCCAUUAGGGUUACGGGAGAAAACACGAACUGAACUCUAGCCCGAUUGUAACGUAUUCAGUGGUAUUAAUUCAGAAUCUGACCUGAAGUUGAACUAGCUAAUUAUUAGUGUCCUGGAACUAGUUAAUUAGUCCUAUUGGCCACUGGCCGAUUAAAGUUACUCUCCUUAGUGGACUGAAUACUGAUGAUUUAAUUGAACUAGUCAAUUAACCCUGUCACUUGCAAAAUUUAACCAGUCCCCAUCCUGGAACUAGUCAACAGCAGAGAUCCUAGUAAUGCUGGAAGGAACCACCAAUUAGUGGGAAGCAUCCACCAAUUAGAAUAAUAGAAGCAAGUCGGGACAUGCGAGGCGGGAGUGGACCUGGAUGGUGCGGGUGUCGAAGCCGAGCUCGAUGCCCAGGCCGCUUGGAGUAUGGCCGACGACAGGAUCGAACGAGCGGACCCUGCUGGUGGUUAGAGAACGUGCGUCUCAAUCCCGUCGGCCAGGAUCAAAUUCGAACGUCAGUCUCAUCCCCGAACAAGAUCCAACAGGAUUCAAUAACAGAGUCUGAGUCCCGUUCGGGAGGUUAGAGACUGAGUUUAAUACUUUAAUCUCCCGAACCUGGAUCCAAUAGCAGAGAUCCUGAUGCCCGCACCUGGAAUCAUCAAACUCGAUCGCCGCUUGGAGGAGGAGGAGGAGGAGCGAACGAGUGGCUGGCGGUGACGGUCAUCGGCCCCUCACCCCCGUCGAUGUUGCUCGUCGCAGUCAACAAAUACGCUCCAAUCGGUGAUGGUUAUGGCUUCUCGCGCUUGAGAUAAGUCAAGGUCGUAAUAUUACCUCGCAGGCACUAGAAAUAACCGCACAAACCUCAGGUUGCUGAUGCUGUGGGUCGCUUGGGUGCGUGUGAUUAGGCUGGG